UACGUAGGGGGCAAGCGUUGUCCGGAAUCAUUGGGCGUAAAGAGCGUGUAGGCGGUUCGGUAAGUCGGCUGUGAAAGUCCAGGGCUCAACCCUGGGAUGCCGGUCGAUACUGCCGGACUAGAGUUCGGAAGAGGCGAGUGGAAUUCCCGGUGUAGCGGUGAAAUGCGCAGAUAUCGGGAAGAACACCCGUGGCGAAGGCGGCUACUCUGGGACGGUACUGGACGCUGAGAGCGAAAGCGUGGGGAGCGAACAGGA
rnacentral:rRNA from 1 species